ACUCACUAUGAUGGCAGUGUGACAGUCAGGCUUUUCAGUGUUCUCCACCAAGCCUGCCAUCUUCAGAUUAGAACGUUCCAAUCCAGGCACAAAUUUGAUGCAUUUACUGUUCAUCUUCCCCUUCUACACAGACGCUUUCAGUCUUACUCAGCUGGUGAGGCCCCCCUGCUUCAGACACUUCCUGCAUGACACAGACUCAAGGAGCUAAAGAAAGGAGGGUACUGCCAGCAGACAGAGCAAGGAAAAAUAACUUUGUGUUGAGCUCAAUGAAUUCAGUUCAGCUGGUACUGGAAGAGUGAGGUUUUUCUGUUUUUCCUCUCAACAUGCCAAGAAGGUCUUUGCAGUAAGGACUAGGCAAAAUAGCCUUGUUGGGGGAGGAAGAAGAUAUAAAAUGAAAUUAAUCUGAUCGUCUGUCAAAAUGUUUAAGUGAAGAAAAAUAUACGGAGGUCUGCCUGAAUCAUCAAAACAAUUGAUGGACUGGGUUUUCCUCCAUGACUAAGGAGUUACAGAUCAUGACUGCCAAGGAAGAAAUAGCCUAUUGUUCUUUGUUGAAAACUGGAAACAAAAAGGCAGUCUCUAUUUCCUGCUUAGAGCCUGCAUCCCUGGGACAAGGAUAAGUGGGAAGAACCUGCUAGCAAGCCCACAGACUGAGCACUGAACCAACCUUCUCCUUCUCUAAUCAAUGUCAUAACCACUUCAAGAAAAACAACUGGUCCUGUAGUUUUCCCAGUGUAAAAGAUUGUGUUCCCUGGAUCCACCCAGGAUCUAUGGCACCAGCCCUUCUCCUAUGAUGCGUUUUAUGUGUCAUGCACAGAGAGAUUUAAAUGUUCUCCAGAUGAUUCUGGGCAUGCCUCAGUCCCCAGGUCCUUCAGAGAAUCUUACCCUGGAAUCAAGAGGAGCAAUGAACUCUAUUAUAAAAUGUUGUGUCAAGAGUAGCUGUGUUGAUAUCCUCCUUCCUUUUUGCCCUCAGGAGAAGGGCAAAAAUUGCCCACCAUGAAGAUCAUUCAUGCUGGGGAUGAAUGACAUGGCUUUUGUAUUGUUUCAAAUAUUGUGCAGAUUGCAAAAUUCCCCAUGAUAGCCUGGGAAGGAGUCUGUCACUUCAGUUUUGCUCUGCAAUGAUAUCGACAGGGUUACUCUGUAAAACUGUAACAGAUCUGAAAUUAGAAAAAUGAGUACCUGAGUUCUCACCAGGCAAUAUAGGAGGGACCUCAACAUUUUCUUUUGGGGCAACUGUAAUGCCUUUGUUUUGCUCUGAGUUGGCUGCACUAGAAAAGAAAUGUUUUUGUGGUCAAAGACAACAAAAAGAACUUUCCUAUGAAAAAGUCUUAGGUUUGUCGUCUAGAAGUGGUUUGUCUGUGAAGUUAAGUUUUAUGGCCUGUUUUCAGUUUCUUGGAUCUAUAAUGACUUUAAGAUAUGUAUCAACCAGAAAUUGUAUCCCUUCUUGUGAAAAUUUUGUAUUUUUUCACCUUCUACCUAUGGCUGUGAUCUUGGACCAUUGAGCAAUCUACAGAACCUGAAUUCCUCGACUUCGCUUUUAAUUAUCCUUCCUGAUGAAACAGGAGCCCAUUAUUCAAUUAUCUCUCCCACACAUAGCCUUGAUUAUAGUCAUCUUUAUUUUAUGCAGCACCCUUCUUUCCCUUUAUAUGUCCUGGAUUCCUGUUCUGAAGAGCUUUAAUUCCACAACCAUAGCUACUUGAUUUUAGCAGGUUUUUCACUGGCGUUUCAAAUUAUUUGGUUAAUAAGUGACAACUAUGUAAAGCCUGAAGACCAAUUUCCAUCAUAUAAUGCUGUGCAAUUUAAUGUAGGAGUAGUUAUGAUAAAACACUGCAUCGUACAGCAAGUAACACUGCUUUGUCCCAAAAGAGACAUAGUCCAGAGGCCUGGGUGACAAACCAGACCUCCUACACUCUAGAUAAUGCAUCUUACACAACCAUGUAUAAAAAUUAUGUUGGUUAGGAAUAAACCAAUACUCCUCGAUUGUGUCCCAGUUAGAGUGAGUGAUAUUUUGUUGAGGGUACAGUUCCAAACAUCCUCAGUUAUUGUGUACAGCAUACUCCUGCCUGAUCCCAAAUUCCUGCAUAUCUUAAUGCAAUCAGGAAAUGAUGGAUUAGCACUUCGAUGUUAUGCCAGUCUGAUUAAUUGUGAGGUAAUAUUGUUCCCAAAUUGCCCAUUUGUUCGGAAAACAACUUUAGUCACUGUGUUACCAAGGAAGACAUUGAUUUUCUUCCAUUUUUUAAUUCAAGUUAAAAGUUAAGAGGAGUCCUGGGGAAUUGGUUUUGCCCAAGUUGAUGUAUUGGGUCUGGCUGGGCAGGAGAUAACUUUCUUCAUAUCAGCCUCUAUAGUUCUGCAUUUAGAAUUUGUGGCUAAAACGGUGUUGAUAACCCACCAGUGUUUUGGCUAUGGCUAACCAGUGUUUGCACAGUGUCACUGCUUGCGUUCUCCUGCUCCACCAAGGAGUAGGCUGAUGCUUGGGAAGGGACACAGCAGGACAGCCAACCGGAAUUGACCAAAGGGAUAACCUUGACCAUGUAAACUACAUGUUCAGCAAUAAAAGCUGGGUAAAGCAAGAA